CAUGAAACCACUGCAGGAGACAGACACAGGAUAAGCUACGUAGCUGCCACAGGAGACAAACGCCUCCUCUGGAGCCUGCCGAAACUUUGCUAGCCUGCUAAAACUUUGCCGGUUGAUGUUGAAAACUUUCACAUGGAAAUACUCGUUCACAGUGGCCACUGUAGCAUGAAACAUCUUUCCUCCAGGUUCUGUUGACUCAUAUUCAAAUGGCUCCGCUGCAUUGAGCACCAUCACGGUCAUGGCCUCAUUUUGGCCAACAGCUCCUCUGGUAGUGCUCUGGCUUGGGGUCUGUGUCUUUUGGUUCUGAGGGCGUACUCAGGAAAGAUAAGAGACAUCAAUCAUCCCAUUCUUUAUGUGCUAUGAGACUAACAUCUAUGAUACUGCAGAAAUAUUUGGAAGUCCAAUGUUUGGACAGCCUGACCUGGGAAGAGUAAACAUGAAAUGAUUUACAGCUCACUUCCCUUUCUUCUCAAUGCACACUUUCCCAAAUUUCCAGAUGUUCUUUACUUAUCCUCACUAUAUGUUUUGCUUCCCAAAUUUUUAUUUUUCUAUUGAUUUUAUUUAAAAACUUUUUAUACAAUAUAUAUUUAUCAUUCUCCUUCAGCUCCUCUCAGAUCCUCCACCCUCCGAAAACUUUAGUGUUCUUUCUUUCACUCUCAAAAAAAAAAGCAAACAAAACUGAAAAAUUCCAAAUAAAACAAAAAAAAAACCUAUACAUA